GCGGACGUGGUGGAAUUGGUAGACACGCUAGCUUGAGGGGCUAGUGCCUAUUUUUUAAAGGCGUGGAAGUUCGAGUCUUCUCGUCCGCACCA
rnacentral:tRNA from 1 species